AACCCAUUGCCUACGUACCAUCUUAAAAAAGAUAAGGAUCAAAACCUCGUAGUUCGGGGUAAAAAAUCUCAAAAUGAGUUGGUGAAUUGAUUUGGUCCAAAAGCCUUAAGGUCUUUUGUUAUCCAAGGGAGAAAACUCAACCUAAAACCACAAAUCCACCAUGUGAGGAUAGCUUCAACAUGCUAGUGAGGGGUUAACCCUAUAAUAAGCAUGGAAGACUCAUUG
rnacentral:lncRNA from 1 species